GUGGGGAAUAUUGCACAAUGGGCGCAAGCCUGAUGCAGCCAUGCCGCGUGUGUGAAGAAGGCCUUCGGGUUGUAAAGCACUUUCAGCGGGGAGGAAGGCGAUAAGGUUAAUAACCUUGUCGAUUGACGUUACCCGCAGAAGAAGCACCGGCUAACUCCGUGCCAGCAGCCGCGGUAAUACGGAGGGUGCAAGCGUUAAUCGGAAUUACUGGGCGUAAAGCGCACGCAGGCGGUCUGUCAAGUCGGAUGUGAAAUCCCCGGGCUCAACCUGGGAACUGCAUUCGAAACUGGCAGGCUAGAGUCUUGUAGAGGGGGGUAGAAGUCCAGGUGUAGCGGUGAAAUGCGUAGAGAUCUGGAGGAAUACCGGUGGCGAAGGCGGCCCCCUGGACAAAGACUGACGCUCAGGUGCGAAAGCGUGGGGAGCAAACAGGAUUAGAUACCCUAGUAGUCC
rnacentral:rRNA from 1 species